CUACGGGGGGCAGCAGUCACGAAAACUUUACAAUGCACGAAAGUGUGAUAAGGGAAUUCCAAGUGUCUAUCUAAAGAUAGACUUUUGCCAAGUGAAAACAGCUUGGAGAAUAAGUGGUGGGUAAGACCGGUGCCAGCCGCCGCGGUAACACCGGCGCCACAAGUGGGGAUCAUAUUUAUUGGGUCUAAAGCGUUCGUAGCUGGUUAGAUAAGUUUCUUGUGAAAUUGUUAAGCUUAACUCAACAGAUUGCAAGAAAAACUAUCAAACUAGGGACUGGGAGGAGAUAAGAGUAUUCCGAGGGGAGCGGUAAAAUGUUAUAAUCCUUGGAGGACUACCAAUGGCGAAGGCACUUAUCCAGAACGGGUCCGACAGUGAGGAACGAAGGCUAGGAUAACGAUAAGGAUUAGAUACCCCUGUAGUC
rnacentral:rRNA from 1 species